rnacentral:rRNA from 1 species
UACAGGGGGGGCAAGCGUUGUUCGGAAUUACUGGGCGUAAAGGGUCUGUAGGUGGCCAACUAAGUCAUACGUGAAAUCCCUCAGCUUAACUGGGGAACUGCGCCUGAUACUGGUUGGCUUGAGUGCAGGAGAGGAACGCGGAAUUCCAGGUGUAGCGGUGAAAUGCGUAGAGAUGUGGAGGAACACCGAUGGCGAAGACAGCCUUCUGGGCCAACACUGACGCUCAUGCACGAAAGCGUGGGGAGCAAACAGG